rnacentral:piRNA from 1 species
UGGGAUUAGGGUUUGACUUGGUGGCCUU